rnacentral:tRNA from 4 species
GCCGCCAUCGUCUAGGGGUUUAGGACAUCGCCCUCUCAAGGCGGAGAUCGGGGGUUCAAAUCCCCCUGGCGGCGCCA